UGGGGAAUAUUGCACAAUGGGCGCAAGCCUGAUGCAGCCAUGCCGCGUGUGUGAAGAAGGCCUUCGGGUUGUAAAGCACUUUCAGCGAGGAGGAAGGUGGUGAACUUAAUACGUUCAUCAAUUGACGUUACUCGCAGAAGAAGCACCGGCUAACUCCGUGCCAGCAGCCGCGGUAAUACGGAGGGUGCAGGCGUUAAUCGGAAUUACUGGGCGUAAAGCGCACGCAGGCGGUUUGUUAAGUCAGAUGUGAAAUCCCCGGGCUCAACCUGGGAACUGCAUUUGAAACUGGCAAGCUAGAGUCUCGUAGAGGGGGGUAGAAUUCCAGGUGUAGCGGUGAAAUGCGUAGAGAUCUGGAGGAAUACCGGUGGCGAAGGCGGCCCCCUGGACGAAGACUGACGCUCAGGUGCGAAAGCGUGGGGAGCAAACAGGAUUAGAUACCCUGGUAGUCCACGCUGUAAACGAUGUCGAUUUUGGAGGUUGUGCCCUUGAGGCGUGGCUUCCGGAGCUAACGCGUUAAUCGACCGCCUGGGGAGUACGGCCGCAAGGUUAAAACUCAAAUGAAUUG
rnacentral:rRNA from 1 species